CACGGGGGGGAGCAAGCGUUGUUCGGAAUCACUGGGCGUAAAGGGCGUGUAGGCGGUCAGGUAAGUGGGAUGUGAAAGCCCUCGGCUCACCCGAGGAUCUGCAUCUCAAACUGCCUGGCUUGAGUAUGGGAGAGGAUGAGGGAAUUCCUGGUGUAGCGGUGAAAUGCGUAGAUAUCAGGAGGAACACCGGUGGCGAAGGCGCUCAUCUGGCCCAAUACUGACGCUGAGGCGCGAAAGCUAGGGGAGCAAACGGG
rnacentral:rRNA from 1 species